rnacentral:tRNA from 1 species
GCUCCAGUGGUGCAAUCGGUCAGCGCGCGGUACUUACAAUGCCGAGGCUGUGAGUUCAAGCCUCACCUGGAGCA